GUAAAUUCUGUCCAAGGCUGAAUACGGGCGAGAGAUCGAUAGCGAACAAGUACCGCCGAGAGACCGAUAGCGAACAAGUACCGCGAGGGAAAGAUGAAAAGGAAUUUGAAAAGAGAGUCAAAGAGUGCUUGAAAUUGUCAGAAGGGAAGCGGAUGGG